rnacentral:rRNA from 1 species
AGCACAGAGAGCUUGCUCUUGGGUGACGAGUGGCGGACGGGUGAGUAAUGUCUGGGGAUCUGCCCGAUAGAGGGGGAUAACCACUGGAAACGGUGGCUAAUACCGCAUAACGUCGCAAGACCAAAGAGGGGGACCUUCGGGCCUCUCACUAUCGGAUGAACCCAGAUGGGAUUAGCUAGUAGGCGGGGUAAUGGCCCACCUAGGCGACGAUCCCUAGCUGGUCUGAGAGGAUGACCAGCCACACUGGAACUGAGACACGGUCCAGACUCCUACGGGAGGCAGCAGUGGGGAAUAUUGCACAAUGGGCGCAAGCCUGAUGCAGCCAUGCCGCGUGUAUGAAGAAGGCCUUCGGGUUGUAAAGUACUUUCAGCGGGGAGGAAGGCGAUGCGGUUAAUAACCGCGUCGAUUGACGUUACCCGCAGAAGAAGCACCGGCUAACUCCGUGCCAGCAGCCGCGGUAAUACGGA